rfam:Polynucleobacter necessarius subsp. asymbioticus QLW-P1DMWA-1, complete genome.
GGGCGCUUAGCUCAGUUGGUAGAGCGUCUGCCUUACACGCAGAAUGUCGGGAGUUCGAGCCUCUCAGCGCCCA